rnacentral:lncRNA from 1 species
CAAAGAAGAGUUGUGGUAUACAGCACCUUGUCUGUGUGCGGGCAACUCACGACAAUAACCCUAGCACUCUUAAGCUUUGGUGAGUCAAAGAAGAGUUGUGGUAGACAGUCAGGGAAAGUCUGUUUGCGGGCAAUUCACGACAAUAAGCCUCUAGCACUCUUAAGCUAGGUUGGUGAGUCAAAGAAGAGUUGUGGUAGACAGCAACUUGUCUGUGUGCGGGCAACUCACGACAAUAACCCUAGCACUCUUAAGCUUUGAUACGAACUUCUUGGUGAUCAUGAUGAACACUGUUACUUGGAUUUGAACCAAUCAAGGACCCUAUCAAGUACGACCAACAAAAGAAAAUGUGGCAGAUCAAAGAAGAGAUCAAGGAUUUCCGAAUGUACAGAGUUCAUGCUGGUGGCAAGAGAAAAGAAGCAAAGAACAAGAAAGGUCGAGCAAGGAACAAGAAAGAUGUUUCAGAUGGUGUACAAGAAGAUGCAGUGUUUGACAAUGACCUGAAGAAUAGAAGCUUUGAUACAGUAAAAGAUGGUACAGACAAUGAUACUGAAGCAGUCGAGGUUUCCUGAGUUGUAACGGACACAGUGUUGUACUUCGUACUCAAAGCUGGCAAG